rnacentral:rRNA from 1 species
AUCUACCUCUGGGUGGGGAAUAACGAUCGGAAACGGUCGCUAAUACCGCAUAAUGCAGCGGCACCACAUGGUGACAGUUGUUAAAGGAGCAAUCCGCUUAAAGAGGAGCCUGCGGCAGAUUAGCUUGUUGGUAAGGUAAUGGCUUACCAAGGCUACGAUCUGUAACCGACCUGAGAGGGUGGUCGGUCACACUGACACUGAAUAACGGGUCAGACUCCUACGGGAGGCAGCAGUCGGGAAUUUUGGGCAAUGGGCGAAAGCCUGACCCAGCAACGCCGCGUGAAGGAUGAAGUCUUUCGGGAUGUAAACUUCGUAAGAAUGGGAAGAAUAAAUGACGGUACCAUUUGUAAGGUCCGGCUAACUACGUGCCAGCAGCCGCGGUAAUACGUAGGGACCAAGCGUUGUUCGGAUUUACUGGGCGUAAAGGGCGCGUAGGCGGCGAAUCAAGUCAGUUGUGAAAUCUCCGAGCUUAACUCGGAACGG